UAUAACCAAAUCUGCAAAAAAACCUGUUCCACCAUCACAGACAGAGGAAAGCCACUGAACUGAGCUUUACAGAGUGCUGGAAAACUACUGAAGUGCAGUGUGUGGGCAAGGCCAACUUUCAUCCCCCCCCCAGGCUGACUUCCUUCUUCCUUCAGUCCCUGAGCACACCCUCACGAGAACAGAAACCAGCCCAAAUUUGUUGCUGUUCUUAGAAGUUUUAAUCACAACCCCCUUUUCUUGUCACGUGGGAUAAUGUUAGAUGGUGAGAGCUGUAAUUUAUGUGUAUUUUUAUAAGAAACUGUUAAUCUGAUCAUCUUUCCAGUUGCCUGCUCAAGGUGGAUUGCAAAUCCCAUCAUCACAGAAGACCUUGCCUGGGUAAAGCAGGUAACCAGUGCCAGCACCAGCAGCUCUCAGGGGAAGGGGGAAAUAAAAAAGCCAGAUUAGCAAACCCACAUUUUCCUACUGUGGCUUUGUGGUGGUAAGACCCUCCAGGAAUUAUCCAUCAGCUCUGCUUCAAAGCAUGAGAUCAAUGAAAGGCCAGUGCAAAUGGAGUUCUUUACCUUCUACAUUUUCAAUCUUGAGGUAACAUCCAGGUGAAGUGUCAUGUUUCUGCUGUCAUCUGGAGCACCUGAAACCAUCCUUAAAUACUGGGACUGCUGUGGAGUCUCACAAUAUCCUGCAGAUUCAGGACUAGAAAAGACAACAAAAAAAUUGUCUGGUCUUUAACUUAGAAAGGCUAGGAAGAUGAGAAAGGCUCCCAGCUUAAAAUCUGGCAUGGGACUGGGGAAAUAAAUAACUGGUCCUAUCCCAGGAGUGACUGGCUGGGAAAGCUGAGGAUGUGAUCUGUGAUGUAAAGUCUACAGGAGAGCUGUGUAUAUUUUCUAGGCACACUGAGAGGAAGGAGUGCUGUGGCUCGGCCCUUCUGGCACACAGUUGUGCUGCCCACCCCACGUGGGCUUGUGGGAGGGGAAGGGUGGGGAAGCAGAGCUGCCUUGCAUGCUGGGAUCCACGCAAAAACACAGUGCCAGAGCUUGACAGAGAAAGUCUGUGCUGCUUCAAAGUGUGUGUGCAGGGGUUUGUCUGAUAUUCAGAAAGUGCAGUUUUGAUUUGAGCUUUUUUCUGCUCUGCUAUUAACAGUAUGGAGUAUCUUCUUGUGAUUUGGUAGGGGUUCAAUGCAUUUAUGAAACAGUUAAACCGAGUUUCAAUGUGUCAAAGAGCUGAGAAUGUGAUUUUAUAGAGAACAGUAUUAUAAAAACAGCCCUUCAGUUUUUUAAUUGGGUACUUUGUGAAUUCAGUUUAAGUACAUGCAUUAUGCAGACACAAAAAUAGGACUUUCAAAUGAAGAGGGAUUCUAAGUGUAUUAUUACCUGAUUUGCAUUUAAAUUAGUGGAAUGCUGUUUGGGAUGUUCUGUAGAGAGCCACUGCUUCCUCUCCUUCAUCCCAGACAAACAUCUUUGAAAAAUCAGGCCCUGCAUGCCCUUCAGCCCUUGGCUAGGGCCUAACUGGGGGGAGCUCACAAAGGCUGAGAGCUCUAUCAGAACGAAUCACUCAAUUAAGCUUAACUGCAGUUUUACAUAGAAAGGAAGUUUUGCUGUUACAAGAGGAAAAAAAUGGUUUUCAGCACUUUGUUGGUCACUUGUAUGGCAAGGUUGAUGCAACACUUGGCAGCAGCUGUUCCUGGCUCAUUGGAUCCCCUCAGAGGUCAGAGCGCAAGUGUCCAGAGUGCUCACUGGGAACAGACAGUGGCCACACUGUGCCUGGCACUGGGUACUGUCUCAUCACAGUGGAAUUAAGUUAGCAGCUUGUGUGACAGUGGUAUCACAUGUACAAAGUCCACUUCAAUAAUUCACAGGAUGAGAUGAGUAAAAGAAAUUCUAGAUUGCACAAGACCUGUCAGAAAAAAAAAAAAUUUUGCUAGUGUUUGCUUCUCUCAGCAUUUAUCUGGGGCAGGGGGUGCCAGCACUUCCAUAGCUAAAGUACCUUCUCCUGUGGGAUGUUUCUGACACAUCUCCUCUGUCAUUCCACUUUUCACUUUCCUUCCAUCACCUCUCAUUACACUUGUCUGAGUACUCAUUGAAAGCACAGACUUCCUUUCAACGAACCAAACAGAUGUACAACAAAGUUGAGUUGAAUAAUUAAUAGACAAUAUUUUGUCUGUUUAAUCAAAGAUACUAAUACCUCGAAAGAAACAAGUCCUCACCUUUCUUACCUCUGACAAAUGUGGCUCAGACCUCUGGCUUCUGCUCCCCACAGCUGGGUGACAGCCAGUCUGAGGAAGGGACAGGGAGGAAAUAGAGGCUCACUGAGCCAUUGCAUGGGCACAACACCACCCUGUUCCCACUGACACAGGGUACUCAUGUGGGAGGAAACUGCAUGUCCUGGUGUCUGUCUCCAAGACUUGGGACUGCCUGUGCAAGAUGCAUAAACACUCUCUGGGCUCUGACUGCCAUGGGACUAGAACAGACCUGUGCAGGGACUGCACUGCCUGGGCCCUGAGCAGUGCUCUCCCAUGUGAGAGGCAGGCAAGUGCAGAGGCAGAUCUCUAGGAAACAUUUGGACAGUUUUGGUGCCCAAAUGUUGGGCAGCAGUCAAGUAGUGUUUUCAGUCCCACAGUUUCAGAUACAGGUACGUAAAUACUGGUAAAACACUUUCCCUUCCACAGGGAGGGAAACAGAGAGAGCUGCAUGCUGCUCUCCCAAGCAGCCAUGUAGCUGAGUGUGACAGAGAUGUGGCACAGCAUUCUUAGCUCAGUAAUUACCAUUCUCUUCUGGUUUAAGCCCUUGGAACCAGGGGCAAAGCCUGCUUGAGAGAUGGGCAUUUGGGGAGCAGCUUACUGCUCCUUUGAGUUACAGCCCUGCUCCUGCCUCCCACACAUGCCCUACAUAGUGAAGGCAUUCAACUCUGAAUUUUUGCAAAAUACUUUUUUGGAAACACUUUUGUUUGUAUCCCCAUAAAGCAAAGCUUUUGACCAAAAGGUUUUUCUGUCUCUCUCUAGCGAGCACUGAGAAUAGACUCCAGCUUCCUGCUGCUGGGUAUGAGUAUCUCUUUUUGUCCUCUUACCUUGGCCUCAAUUUCAGUGACUCUGUUUAAUUGGCAGAAAAUUGCAGGACAUCAGAAAAGAGUAUGCACAUAUCAGAUACAUCUUCCUUUGAGAGUCCUUGUUACCUCUGCUAGGGCUCUUUUUUUCCCUUUCUGUGUUGAGAUCAAAGACCCACUGGGAUGGAAAUCCUGUGGUCUCUGCAAGGCAAUGCUUUACACAUACUCUUAUGCCUGAGAGAGGUUGCCAGCACACUUGCUAGAUGCUUCCAUGCCACAGCAAGUCUCUUCUGUAAUACCUUCCAAAGUCAUCAUCAUUUAGCAGCUUAAUGAAGUUUAUUGGUCUGAUUUUGAAGCAGUUUAAAUCUCAACCAUUUACACUGCUUUCUCCUGGAUUUGUGGGUGCUCUUCCUGCAGGUAGAUAAAAUAACCCAUUUUUAUAUCCAUACCUACUGAUGUUCUUUAAUCUUAGCCCAUUAUUCACAGCAACAUUUUGCUGCUCUCUCCCCUGGUGAAUGUGGAAGUUCUGUGCUGCCCUCACUCAGCAGCUGAUCUGCAGCCUGACCGAGUGCUGUAACCGAUACCAGCUCUGUGUUCGUGCUGCACCAGGAGAUUCUCCUUUGGCACCUGCCCUCACACUCACACAUUUCACAGCAACCCUGCCCGUCCCUGCCAGCAGCAGUGCGGUUCUGACCAGGUCAGCUGGUGCCCAUCACAUUUCUUUAAUUACCUUCUGGCAGCUUGUUACAUCCUGAUGUCAGGAGAGCUUUCUGGUGCAAACAGAAUAAACUGAGCUCAACAUCACUUUCACAUUUCUUUAAAAAGCCUCCUCUCAUCCAGUAUCACCCCUCCAUUCUCUCAAACACGGCAAGUAUUUAAAAAGUGAAAUAUUUUUCAGCCCUGAGAGACAGAAAGCCAGCCUGCCUACAGUACUGUUUUAAGAAAUACAAUUUUUCAUGAUUCUUCAUAGCUUACAACAUGAUUUAAGGCCCUUACAGUUUUAGGUAUUCUAAUACUGCACUUUUCCAGGAAGAAUGCAUCAGUCUGGAAGGAUCCACAUGUAAAAUGUGCAAACAAAACCGACAAGACAAAAAAACUUGUUCAAACACUUUUUAUUACUAAAAAAAAAAUUCCACAAUGCCUAGAGUUCCAAAGUGCCAGUGCAUAUGGAUGCAAGACACAGAUUCGUGAGUCCAACAAAAAUAUACAAAGCAACUGGGAGGCCAGGAGGGAGGUUGGGAAAGACACAGCCCAGUACACACCUGCACGUUACUUACAAUUAGAGGAGUCUGGCUUACAUAUAUUGUAUGACUGGUUUAUGAGGCAAGUGCAAGACUACAGAGCUGAAUGUAGUUAGUCUGUGGACAGUGGGAUUUUCCUGUUGUCGUGUCAGCUAAUGCUUCCAUGUACGCUCUUGGAAUGGUCUCUUUUGAGCAAGAAUUCCCUAACUUGAUGAAUCGCCUUCAAUUUCACCCUGUGUGAGAAGACAAGUAAAAAGCAGGUAAAUAUUUGGAAAACAUAAACAAAUACAUUUAGGAGAAAAAUCAAUGCUGACAGUCACCAUACAAAACCUCCCAAACAGCUAAAAACAAUGAGGACCAUAGGUGAUGCAGAAAAUAAAUGAAUUAUCCAUUCCUUCUGGAAACCAGACACACUCCUGGUGUAACUCAGAUCUCUAGGGAAAACAAGGGUGUGAAUUCACAUGUGGUGCAAGUCAAGUUAAUGUGGGCCAGGCUCCACUGGCAGUAGUGUCCUGCUUUGUGCUCCUGGGUCUGCUGCUGCCUGACCCAGCCUGACAUCAGCACUGCUGCAGCCAUGCAGCCAUUGGGAUUGUUGGACCCAUUUCUGGGACUGGCAGUGGGGGGUCACGGCUGGAGGAAGGUGGGAGAUGCAAGAUGAGACUUUUGGGAGCUUUGGAGACCAUGAAAACAGCCUGAGCUUCAGAAAGGCUGAAAACUGUGGGUUUGGGUACAUGCAGUACUUGUGGAAGGGACAGACAAAGGCCUUAACACUGAAAUUGUAAAGGAAAUACCACAUGAGAAGCGUUUACCCCGUUGUCCAUGUUGGACAAAAAGUCAUCCUUGUUCAAGAGUUGAAAUUGGCCUGGAGACAAAUUUUUGACCAAGGGCUUCAAAAGAAUAUUGAAGGUAGAACAGUUUAAAAAUUAAUUUAAAUACAGAAAAAUCUAUAGAAAAACCUAACUUGUUUUCUAAAUCUCUUCUGAAGCAUGGCUGCAAACAGGAAAAAGCUAUUCCAUGUCAUGACAGAACCACAGGACAGCAUUAAAUUUAAUAUGUGCAUUUACACCCCAAAAUCAACCCAAAUCAGGCAGCAGUUUGCAAUCUGUCCAUCUGUCACUCAUGGAAAAUUCCCAAGAUAAGGAAGUGGCGAAAAUGAGAACAGAUGAGCUCAGGUUUUUGUCCAGCAACUCAGGAAAGUGGGAACACUGAUGGGCUCCUUGCAUGGCAGUUCUAGAACCACAAGUGGCAAGGGGGAUAUUCUGCCAGGGGAAACGAGUAACCCAGAAAGAGGCUGGGUGUGGCACAGAGAGCCCGGGGCAGCGGGGCCGGGGCAGCACUCACCUCUCCUGCAGUGCCUGCCGGGGCCCCCUCUCCCUCCAGCCUGGGCUGCUCGGGCGGCUGCGGCGCUGCCAGGUCCUCCUGCCAAGUCACAAGCAAGAUGUUUGUCCUUGCUGCCACAUGCAGAGUCAUCACCCUAAUCUUAGGCUGAGCAAGAUGGGGGUGAGCAUUACACACGCCAGCAAAAUAGCAGCUUUAAUAGAUGGCAGAUACUGCUUGAAAUCCAUUUUUGUUGUGCAGCUGGUUUGAGCAGAUAUCUAUGACAAAGCCAACUCAGUUUCUUACAGCCUGGUUUAGGGCCUUUUUCAUACAGAAAAUCAGCUCUUUUUCUGUCAUUGAGACCAGAGUUUUGACUCCAUCAGUGUGAAGAAAUUUGGGAGGAACAAAUAGAUUUAUGUAUAGCAAGGCUAUACCCAGCCUUACCCCACAUUAUCUUACUCUAAGCACUCAUUGCAUAGACUGAAAUGAAUCAAAGAUAAAGCAGUACUGUGGUGCUGUUAAUGUCUUGCUUCAGAAAAAAUAUCUUUAUCAAAGGAUAAGCCUUUCUUUUCAUUUGAGUCCAAGCAUUUACUUAAGUAUUUUGGGCUCUUCUAGCUACUUGCCUACAUCUUUCAGCUACCUUCCUAUUCACAGAAGAAGAGAAAAUGUUGCAUUACCAGGUAAUCAUGUUAAACACAUUUUGGCUGCAUGGGAAGAGAAGACAAAAUCCUGACCAUACUGGAUGUGCACAGGGGAUGGACAGAAAGCAGAAAUGCACCUCAAUGGAAUCAGCCAGUGAGAGUUAGGGGAAGCAGAAGUAGCAGGACCUCUGUAAUUUUAGUUGAGUUCACCAGAGAACUCAACUAAAAUUACAAAGCUCCUCUGCUCUCUUUGAGCACACAUGCCAAGCAGCUCCCCUGAAUGACUCUCUUCCCACAUGAAGUCAGGGCCACAAUAGAGAGAACCAGAGACAUAUAUAUUGUGGAAAGGAAAAGUCAAUUUUGCAUGGAAGGUAAAGUUAUGAAUUUCAAUAUUUUGGAAACACAAUGCCACCACUUUGCUUGGUGCUGCUGCUGAUGCAAUGCAAAUCAAUGUCUCUGCCAAACCUACUGUAAACAAAACUUUAUGCUCCGUGUGUUUAGGGUACUCUCUUUUUCCUUUACACACGUCCUUACUUUCCUGUCCAGUCAUAACUGUUCUCAUCAGUAGGAUAACAUCCCUGCCAUGCCUGCUGCUUUUUGGACUGAAUUUGGGAAAAAAAGGUUAUGUGAAGUAAAAAGGAAAAAUAGAUGGAGUUACAUAGAUACAAGGCAGAGCCCAUGAAACUUUAAUCUGGAAGUUGAACUUCAGAUCCAUGUGUGGCAGCAAGGGGAGCCAGGAGGUGGAAGCACUGCAACCUGCUUGUCCUACCUAUGGGCUUCCUGUUCUCCAUGCAAGCUACUGUAAAAUCAAUCCACUGGAGGCAGAAAAUAGCCAAAGUACGAGCUGCAGCCCUGUACUCAUGUCUGUCACAGCUGCAGGCAUUUCUUCAUCUCCCUGCUGAGACCAGAGCUGAUUAGUGUUUAUGGAGAGCACCAUGGUGUCUCCAGAUGAGAAGCACAGUGUGACCAUUGUUCUCUAAGGAACAUGCUCUUAACUUCCAUUGCAUUGUUGGCUGAAAUGAUUCUUGCUGGUACCAACCUGAGCUGUGUUAAGCAAGCCCAAGUAAACAAAUUACAUCAAACUGCACUUCAUGGAAGUCAGUUUCUCCUGCAGGGAGACCUGCAGCUCUUCAGGAAAGGCCACUGCUCUGAUGGAGCCAGCUGGUCACAGUCUUUCUGAGAUGAGUCAGCUCUCCUGCCGCCAGCAAACAGCUCACUACUCUGAAUUUAUGGACGCUCAUCCAGCCUCAGGAUCCAGCCUGCAGCUUUAAAGCACUCUACAUUUGCAUUUACAUAUACUUUGCAUAUCUAUACCUUAUAACUCCACAGUGCACAUUAGGCCAAAGCAAGCAAAUAGCCUCAAACUGUAUUUUGAAGCUUUACAAACAGAUUUUUGACUAUUAGGUGGAGAGGAAAGAAGCUUCCUAUGGAAGCCACUGACGAUAGCUGCAACAGCAGGCAUUUCAUAGUGUUUUGCAGGUGGAGUUACCAGCUGCUGUGUGAAAUUGUGAAGGUCAAUCAAAGGCAAUUGCCUAAAGUGUUGAGCUGCAUUGGGAAAACUGGGGAACAGCUCACCGGAACACAAGGACCAGUGCAGUGCACUCCAUCUUUCCACAGGGUAUGACCACUUGUUGUUCCUGUGGGCAGGGAGCUUGGCUCUGGUACAUGUAGAAAGAGUCCUGGGAGAUGGACACCUUUCUCAGGACCACCUUCAGGACAUUGUAUCCAAGAGCAAGGGGUGGGCUGGAGAAUCCCUGUUCAGCUAUUGUGCUGCUUCUUAGAUCCCUUAGAUCCUGCUCUCUGCCAAGACUGCUCCAGAAGACUAAAAAUCAACCAUCUAUUUUUAGAAAGGGAAGCAACUGAGUUUCUGGAGGGUGUUUCUAGGCUAUGUUGGAGGAACCAGGACAAUAGCAGGAUGAAGAGGUGUCAGGCUGUGUUAGGGAUGGUGCUUCACAGCCUUUUUCUCACGCGCUUCCACCCUGCCCGGAAUAGGGAGCAGGAGAUGAGGAAGGGCUGCAUUCUUCAGCUGGGUGUUACCUGGCUGGGGAUUUCAGGCACUGCUCAGGAAGACAAUAUCCAGAGGACUACCAUGUGGUGUAGGGGUCUCCACUUUGGAUAAAGAGCCAGAAAUUCCUGGGCACCGGCUCCAGCUAUAACACUGACUCACAGAACAGUGCUGGGAAAGAAAGAAGGGGUGAAAAUCCAACUUCCUUAUGGGGGCAGAAAGAGUUUUGCCAUUCCUGUCAGUGCUCAUCUCCUCAUUAAAAGGGGUAACAUUUUCUAAGCUAAAGGCAUGUUGAAACCAUGAAACAAUUAGUAAUGCUCCACCUCCUCUUAAAGGGAGAGCCAAAUAUUUCCCCUCAGAAAUUACGUACUUUCUUAGAAAAAAAUAUUUUAAAUGGAAAUAAAAUUAAAUAUUUUGUUUGCUGUGGGCUAUUUUCUUCUGGUUUUGGGUGGGCACUUGAAUCUAUUUUUGCUACUGAAGAAAGAAAAGUGAAAUACUUGAACAUCAUAGUUAAGUGAAACACAAGACCUCAAAAUUCCUUCCAAGAAUAGUAUACAAGUUUUUAAAUAUUUUGUGUGUUUAAAAAUAUUUUUUAUGUAGAAUAUAUACACCACAGGAGAUCUCUAUAUAUAAAAUACAAUAUUUAGCUAAGGUUAGGAAACAGAGGUACAUGUUUAGCUAUCACUAAUUAAAAACUCAACAAAUUAAGACCUGCCAUUUAUAAAAAUAUUCCUGUGUAAUAGUAAGGGAUCUUAAAUAGACUGUACUAUAGGCUUCUAGGUCCAUAUAUUUUAAUAAGUUGUUUUAAAGACUGAUUUUGAAAGCCCUGAAAUACUGGAAGAAAUUAAUUACAAUUUAAUUCCUCAGAUUUCUCAUUUUCACAGGUUCUAUGAAAAUCUCUUUUUCGGCUCCUCAGCAAUUGACUUGUCCACUGUCUGAGUUCAUAUAUGAAGUAGAAUUUUUUUUUUUUUAAUCUAUAUUAUCUUGUAGGCCAGUGGGAGUUUUGUUGCUGUCCCCAAAUAUUCGGACAUAAACAAUCUUACUAAGAUUAUCAUCCUUAUAUAACAGAGAAAGCAGUCCAGAUAUUGGAUACUGGAAUAUAUUCAUCAAAUCUCAACAAAUUCAGUGGCAAGCAAGAUGUUGUUGUUAUUUUUGGGGUUUGUUUUUGUGGGUUUUUUUGUUUUUUUUUAAGGCUGAAAAGCCAGAGAGGUUCACUGGCAGCCUAAUGGCAGCUACAAAUUCAAGAGCCCUCAAAGGGACAUCGGUUGCAUAAGGUGGAGAGGCUCAGCCUCCUGUAGUGCUCUUGACCUUGGGUGCUGGAGCAAACGCAAUGCUGCCUGGCAGCAUCCUCAAACCACUCCCUAGGAAAGCCUCAGGCAGCCUGGCAGGUCCUGUGGACAAGCUGUCCUCGACAGGUUUCUGGCUGAGUGCUCAGAGUGAUGCCAACAGCUCUGACUAAGGGGCCAACCCUCAAUUAAAGUGAGUGGACCCACCAACAGGACAGACAGAGGGGCAUGCAGGAUUCCUGUCUUACCCUACAAAUCCAGGUAGUCUUCUGUGGUGGCUUUGUUUUUAUCCAGCUCACGGCCAGACUCUCUGAGAGUCUCCUGGGACUGCUUAUACAAAUGAUACAUAUUUAACUUGUAUCCUAUGGGAUUGCAGGGGUACAGCCUUGAGCCAUGGAGCCCAUCCAUAGUCUUGUAGGUUUAAGGCUUCACCAGUGCCACUAACUCAGCUAUUUUUCAUGGGAAAAUGUCUGUCUGAAUGCACUAAUGAGACAGAGUGGAGCACAGAAAAAGUGUCUGUAGGCAGAGUGCCCCACUGCACGCCGCUUGUGCAGUCUCCCGUGCUCCACGACAUGUGGAAGGAUACCACUGGGAUGCAUCACUGCAUCAACUAAGUACAGGGAAGGUUGAAUACAAAGGGGAACAAGCCUCAACUAUUUAUUCUACCUAAUUGUUGGGUGGUUUGGCUGUUGAUUUCCCUGCUCCUCCUGCUUAGCAGCUCAGCCUUUGGUGCCUUCUCAUAUGCCCUUGGCUGCUCUCUCCUUGUGGCACUCGCCCAGGCCAAGCUAAGUUGGACAGAAAGGUCACUCAGUUUCUGCUUCUAAUUCCUUCCUUGUGACAGACUGUCUCUGUAUCGGAGGUGAAGCAGGGUGUAAGUGAAGGGAAUUAAGGCCAUGAACAGCAGCCUUUCCCAUUCAGGAUGGGCAGUUGUUAUGAAAGAGAUGAGCCACGGCGUGGGUGCGGCCACGUGUGCCAGGUCAGGUGCACAGGAACUCUCUGUGAUCCAGAGAACGCGCCCAGCGGUUGCACAUAACUGACAAAUGCUCAUUUAAUUAAUGGGUUGAAGUAAAAAACUAGAUCAGACCCAAUUCAAAGUGACAGAGUCAUGAACUGACAACUAAAUCAUAAAAACUGACAGGACAAAUAGAUCUAAAGGGAAGAUUUAGAUGGAAGGUGCAGGGAAGCAUCAUUUACUGGGGAAAUGGUUCCAAACCCUGAGGGACAUUUUGAGAGCGUGUGUAUGUACAUGGGCUUGUUCACAGCCACGUGGUGUCUGCAUUGCAGCAAGCUCUGUGCUGUGUCAUACAGACGAGGCAUUAAUCCUCUUCUAAGACAGGGAUAUUUAGUGAGUGGUUAUCUCACUGGAAUCUCCUAAUGUCCACCCCAGGGAUGGGGAUGGGUGCAAAGCCACAGACAGAACACACUACUGACUGGUUCCAUUCCUUUUUGUAUCCGAAAAAUUGCGGAAUGUUUAUAAUCUCUUAAUUUACAGAUUUUUUAGUUGAUACUUAAAAAACUCCCCCAAAUGAGUCAAUUCUUUCUUGUACUCUUGUACUCAGCAGUGACCAGGUCAGUGCCAAAGCCCUGUCAGGCAGUGCCAGCACAACUCAAGGUUGUUCUCAUCUGCUUGGCCCCCUUCCAUAGGUAUAGGGUUACUUCAGGCACAUUUCCUUCUCCGUGGCUCUGAGUGCUCCCCCCAAGGACAGUGAGGAACAGCAGGCUGCCAGGGUGUCCACAUUUCAGUGCCUGCUGUGAUGCAACAAAGGGCUGAUUUCUUUCCCAUGGCCAAAUCACCACCUGAUACACCUGCACCCCACAGCUAUCCUGAGCAAAACUUACACCAAAACCCUUAGAGUAUCCCUCUCUUUCCUAAUGUAUGCUGCCACUGAUCCCAGCUGUCAAAUGCACAGACUAAAUGUCAACGAGCUCUCUGUAAUUGAUAUUAAUACUGGCAAUGGCCAGCUGGGGACAUGCCUUCUAGCCCACUGAAGUCCCCAGCCCCAAGUCACCCUGAGCACUGCUCAGUACAUUGCAUUCACAGAUCCCUGGCACUUUGAACAGUCCUUCUAUAGCAGGGAACAACACUGAAGAUAGCUGAAAACCCAAAUAAGAUGUUGGCAAGUGCUCUAUGCAAUUAGAAGGAGGGAGGAUAGUAUGGAGCACGAGCAAGUCUCAGGACUCUCUCAAACUUCUGGGGCUGAAAUGCUUGUGGUUAUUCCAGGACUGCAGGAUUAUAUCAGUGGAUAUUCACUGUUUAAACAUUUAAAAGCUAUACAUUAUCACUCUUAGUGUAUCUCCAGUCGGUCUCCCUUAUGUAUUACAGUGCCUGGUGCUGCUAUUGCAGAUGCUGGAUGUAUUUCCAUUAGCAAAUUGUGUAACAUGAUAGGAGCGGUCCUGGAGAAAAAACAGCUGGUGCUGAGAGCCCAGCACAACUCCUUAUUCUCUUUUCAGGGCCCUCCCUCUGGAGCAACUUUGGCUCCCUGGCAAUUAUUCAUUAGCAGUGGGGAUGCACUUGAUGUGCAUGUGGAGCCCAAUCUUCUGUGUCUAGCUGAAUCUAAAAAGUGUCUAGCUACAUGCUAAAGUAAGGUUAAUCCAAAGGCUGUCCUGUCCAUCAUAGAAGAAACGAACACACCUUUUUUACAACUCCUGUAGUGGCCACGAUGGUCUCUGCUCCUUCUACAGUCUUGUUUGCCACUGUGUUCACGCUGGCUACCACAGCU